AUUCCCAUCAGACCAAGGCCAGACUGUGAGCCAUGCAUGCUGCAACACAAACAAGAGGUGUGUUAGUUCUGUUCAGGGUAGCCUUGAUGCACAUACACUUACUGGUCUAGCCAUAGAUUAAAAAGUGUUUGUUGUUUUUUUUAUUAUUUGUUUCUUUCUUUCUUCCUUCCCCACCCUCAAGAAUUAUUUGGCAUUCUUUUUUAAGCACAAAGCCUCUUUUGGACAAUCUUCUGGGAAACAGGAGUAGAGGAACCUCACUUGGCAAGAGACCCAUCCCAGGCCAGGGCUGGAGCUGCCUUCCAGCCCCUCAGCAGCCUGAGAGAUUUGAGUGUGGGCUCUGGGAGCUGCUGUUGGCACCUCCUGGCUGCAGGCUCCUGAAUCCACCUGUUCUGCUAAAGGGAUUCCCACCCCUUGGAGAUGUGAGAGAAUAGGCAAAGCUGUGCUGAGGCUGAGAUUGCCCUGCAGAAGUAAAUUUGGACCUGAGGAGCCCUGUGAUUUGCUGCAAGAGAGACACAGUGGGGACUGUAACUCCAUGGCCAUCCUGUCCUAGAACUUUCCCAGUAAAGUGGGCAGUAGGCAAAGUCACUGAGGUGACAGUGGUGCAGAGAAGAGGCAAAUGACUGCUCAGAAAUGCAGAACUGAUUCAGUUGUACCCCUGAAACAGCUACAUGCAGGCAGCCCUGCUCUAAUAAGAUCCUGCUCCUGCACAACAGAAUAUGCACAUCCAAACCUCAAUUCACCUGCAGAUCUGUAGCAACCACAGUUAAAAAGUGUGUGGUGAGGCUGACCCUGGGGCAGUGUCAGGGAUCAAACUGGUUCUGUUACUGGUGUUGGGCAGCGCCUCUACAGCCACUACAGCUUCCUCCAGUGGAACAACUAGAGCUCUUCUUUCUGUACAGCUACACAACUUGUCACCUCUCCCUCUGAUGCCCUCACCACUUGCUACACUUGUACACAGCUCUGUUCUCAAGUGGAGACUUUCUGUAGCAUCACUCACUGCCCUGAGCAGCUCUGCUGGGCUUUCUUUAUGGUUCUACAGAACCCUGUAACUAUCACAUUGUCUCACGUAUUACCUCUUCUUGCCUUGUGGGUACUGAUCCUGCACAAGGAGACCCUUCUGUUACAUGCAGCUCUGCACCUAAUGCUCAAAGUGAUCACUCCUGGUUCCCAGGGCAGAACCUCCUCACUGACUGCAAUGAACAUCAACACAGCCUUAAACUCACAGACACAGAUAGUUGUUCCAUUUUCUUAUGUAAGAUGCAUCCUCCUUGCUUCCCCUUGCUGUGAUUCAUUUGCCAAAUCCAUCUCCAGAGGUGACCUGAAGCAAGAGCAUUCCUACUCCUUAGCUUGCUGCCCUUCACAGUCCAUCUCUUUAUAAGUUCAAGGGCAUCCACAGCACUCUCUGAUUUCUGGAAUUCUGAAACACAAAGAGAAGAGGAAGAUGCUUUGGCAGUGUUGCUGCUGCCCUGUUCCUUGACACCUGUAGGGCAGGGCUAGAGAUGUGGAGCAAGAGAGAUGAAAAGCUAAAAUCCAUGCAGCCAGCAGGAACUGUCUUGCUACAGGUAAACAUCAGACUAGAUGUGCCAGUUAUCUGCAGCAACACUCAUCCAGUUGUUCUCCUCACCUUUUUACAGGUCAGAACUUGCCUGUGUGAAGCUGCACAGUAGCCACCCCUCACACUGAGGCACCAAAGCCAAUAAACUAUCCUGAACUUUUCUAAAUAAAGGGUUUUUUAAAUUA